rnacentral:rRNA from 1 species
GUGGGGAAUCUUGCACAAUGGGCGAAAGCCUGAUGCAGCGACGCCGCGUGGGGGACGAAUGCCUUCGGGUUGUAAACCCCUUUCGGCAGGGAAGAAGCGCAAGUGACGGUACCUGCAGAAGAAGUCCCGGCUAACUACGUGCCAGCAGCCGCGGUAAGACGUAGGGGACGAGCGUUGUCCGGAUUCAUUGGGCGUAAAGCGCGCGUAGGCGGUUUGGUAAGUCGGAUGUGAAAACCAGAGGCUCAACCUCUGGCCUGCAUCCGAUACUGCCCGACUAGAGGUAGGUAGGGGAGAUCGGAAUUCCUGGUGUAGCGGUGAAAUGCGCAGAUAUCAGGAGGAACACCGGUGGCGAAGGCGGAUCUCUGGGCCUUACCUGACGCUGAGGCGCGAAAGCUAGGGGAGCAAACAGGAUUAGAAACCCUAGUAGUCC